AUUGAACGCUGGCGGCAUGCCUAACACAUGCAAGUCGAACGGGGGUAGCGAUACCCUAGUGGCGGACGGGUGAGGAACGCGUAGGAAUUGGCCCACGAGUGGGGGACAACCUGGGGAAACCCAGGCUAAUACCGCAUACGCUCGCGAGAGGAAAGCGGGGGAUCUACGGACCUCGCGCUGGUGGACAAGCCUACGUCCGAUUAGCUAGUUGGCAGGGUAAAAGCCUACCAAGGCGACGAUCGGUAGCUGGUCUGAGAGGAUGAUCAGCCACACUGGGACUGAGACACGGCCCAGACUCCUACGGGAGGCAGCAGUGGGGAAUAUUGGACAAUGGGCGCAAGCCUGAUCCAGCAAUGCCGCGUGGGGUGAAGACGGCCUGCGGGUUGUAAAGCCCUUUAAGCGGGGAGGAACGCCGGAACGCGAAUACCGUUUCGGACUGACGUUACCCGCAGAAUAAGCACCGGC
rnacentral:rRNA from 1 species